rnacentral:rRNA from 1 species
UGCAAGUCGAACGGCAGCACGGGAGCAAUCCUGGUGGCGAGUGGCGAACGGGUGAGUAAUACAUCGGAACGUGCCCUGUAGUGGGGGAUAACUAGUCGAAAGAUUAGCUAAUACCGCAUACGACCUGAGGGUGAAAGCGGGGGACCGCAAGGCCUCGCGCUACAGGAGCGGCCGAUGUCUGAUUAGCUAGUUGGUGGGGUAAAAGCCUACCAAGGCGACGAUCAGUAGCUGGUCUGAGAGGACGAUCAGCCACACUGGGACUGAGACACGGCCCAGACUCCUACGGGAGGCAGCAGUGGGGAAUUUUGGACAAUGGGGGCAACCCUGAUCCAGCAAUGCCGCGUGUGUGAAGAAGGCCUUCGGGUUGUAAAGCACUUUUGUCCGGAAAGAAAUGGCCUGGGUUAAUACCUCGGGUCGAUGACGGUACCGGAAGAAUAAGCACCGGCUAACUACGUGCCAGCAGCCGCGGUAAUACGUAGGGUGCGAGCGUUAAUCGGAAUUACUGGGCGUAAAGCGUGCGCAGGCGGUUUUGUAAGACAGGCGUGAAAUCCCCGAGCUCAACUUGGGAAUGGCGCUUGUGACUGCAAGGCUAGAGUAUGUCAGAGGGGGGUAGAAUUCCACGUGUAGCAGUGAAAUGCGUAGAGAUGUGGAGGAAUACCGAUGGCGAAGGCAGCCCCCUGGGACGUCACUGACGCUCAUGCACGAAAGCGUGGGGAGCAAACAGGAUUAGAUACCCUGGUAGUCCACGCCCUAAACGAUGUCAACUAGUUGUUGGGGAUUCAUUUCUUCAGUAACGUAGCUAACGCGUGAAGUUGACCGCCUGGGGAGUACGGUCGCAAGAUUAAAACUCAAAGGAAUUGACGGGGACCCGCACAAGCGGUG